ncrna:Weizmannia acidiproducens DSM 23148 L31-Firmicutes ribosomal protein leader
CUCUGUUUCGAAAUGACUCAGGGCAUUAAGGAG